rnacentral:rRNA from 1 species
UACGUAGGUGGCAAGCGUUGUCCGGAAUUAUUGGGCGUAAAGCGCGCGCAGGCGGUCCUUUAAGUCUGAUGUGAAAGCCCACGGCUCAACCGUGGAGGGUCAUUGGAAACUGGGGGACUUGAGUACAGAAGAGGAAAGCGGAAUUCCACGUGUAGCGGUGAAAUGCGUAGAGAUGUGGAGGAACACUAGUGGCGAAGGCGGCUUUCUGGUCUGUAACUGACGCUGAGGCGCGAAAGCGUGGGGAGCAAACAGG